rnacentral:rRNA from 1 species
CCUACGGGUGGCAGCAGUGGGGGAUAUUGCACAAUGGGGGAAACCCUGAUGCAGCGACGCCGCGUGGGGGAAGACGGUCUUCUGGAUUGUAAACCACUGUCCCCAGGGACGAAAAUGACGGUACCGGGGGAGGAAGCUCCGGCUAACUACGUGCCAGCAGCCGCGGUAAUACGUAGGGAGCAAGCGUUGUCCGGAAUUACUGGGUGUAAAGGGAGCGUAGGCGGGGAGGCAAGUUGGGUGUCAAAACUACCGGCUCAACCGAUAGUCGCACUCAAAACUGCAACUCUUAAGUGAAGUAGAGGCAGGCGAACUUCCUCGUGUGGCGGUGAACUGCG